GGCGGCAUGGCCAAGUGGUAAGGCGGGGAACUGCAAAUUCUUUAUCCCCAGUUCGAAUCUGGGUGUCGCCUGAUCAACAAA
rnacentral:tRNA from 1 species